rnacentral:lncRNA from 1 species
UUUUUUCCUUUUCUUUGUGUGGUUCGUGGUUGUAUUCUCUGUAAUCCUGGCCGGUUGAUGGCUUUGUUAAUUCAAAGCCGGGCUCUCCUUGAGCCUUCGUUCCAAAAGACCAAACUAUUUUGCUCCCUGGGUUCCAUGAGAGAUAAGAUUUUCUUGUAUUGACUCGUAGCCCAAGGGGCAUAUUAUAAUACAUGAGGAAACACACAACAUCCGGGUAUCACCCUCAUACACAUGGAUGCUACCAUCACUACCUCUAACACCAUGGAGCAACGAUUUAAACACCUUGAUAUAGGGCUCCAUUCCUAAGCAGCUCAUGAAUAUCAGAAAAGUUGUUGUUAAGUAUAUAUGUUGUGUUUGUCUUGUACAGGCCCAGGCCCAUAGUCUAGAGUGAGGCCCAGGCCCAUGUAACCUUGUAUAUCUCUCUCCUCAAUACAGAAAACUGUUUGGUCAUUCUCUCUUCCUCACAUUUCCUACCAUGAUAUCAGACCAGGACCAAACCCUAGUCCCUCUUCUAGCCGCCACCCAUGAAAUCGCCGCCGGUGAGGUGAUUCAGGCGGAUCUGUCUGGUGAGGAGACAUCCACAUCGCUGCCCCAUCCCAUCUUCGUCAUCAACCUGUAGGAGCUGCUCUCCAGCAGCUCCUCUGUGUUUCCUCACAGCUACUCUGUGAGAAUACUUCCCCUGCUCUCCAGCAGCCAUCUCCAGCAAGCUCUUGGUGCCUUCCCUGCUCUACAGCAAGCUCCAGGCGUUCCCCCUUCUAUCCAGCAAGAUCCAGCAAGCUCCUCCUAUCCAGUGAGAUCCAGCUCCUGUUUGUGGCUGUCUGCUGCUCUUCUCUUGUUGCUGCCUGCAGCUGCUAUCAGAUUGGGUGUUUCCAGCUGCUGGCCACUCACCACUAUGGCAAGAAAUGAUUUCGGAUUUGGUUCUGUGAUCAUAGAUAUCAAGCUUGAUGGUUCAAACUACAGGGAAUAGGCAUUUUCUACCCGAACUGUCUUGAGGAUGGCUGGUUUUGUUUCUCAUCUGACAGAUGAUCCACCUAGUCCAAAUGAUGAUGCAGCAAGGAAGUAUUGGCAAAAGAUCGAUGAUCGUGUGAUGGGAGUUUUAAUUCUGGGUGUUGAACCCUCACUCCGAAUGAGUCUUGAGCAUCACACUUCAGACCAGCAGUGCACUUCAUUUCUCGUUGUUGCAGAAUUUACACAACACUCGGUAGCCAGAAGACAUGUUCAUAGAAGAGUACUAUGGAGCUUUCCCUCGCAUCACUGGGCAGCUAGGUUCCAUGGUUCCAAAGGGUAAUUCUGGUUGUGAGUCAUGUGCAGCGAAGGAAAAGUAUGACCAUCAGACUCUCAUGUUUCAGUUUGUGAUGGGUCUCAAGCCAGACUUUGAGAACAUUCGCACUCAAUUGCUUGGUCGUACGACUCAUCCUACCUUGACAAAGGCACUUGCUAGCUUGAUCGCUGAGGAGACUCGUCUCCGUUCUCUUGGGGCUACUUCUGCGCAGACUCUACACACUAGUGUUCUGGCUUUUCCUCAGCAGCCAGGUGCCUCCAAGGCCACACCUUCAGCUGUCGUAUGCUCGUUCUGCAAGAAGGCAGGACACCACAGAGAUGGUUGUUUUAAGCUUCAUUCAGAGCUGUUAGCUGAGUUUCAGGCUAGACGGGCCCUCAAUCAGCAGCGUCGUGCACCCCAGGCUCCUUAUCAGCAGCAAGUGAGGGGUGCUUCUGCAUCUGUUCUCUCUCAGCCCGCUGUUGCUGCAACCCAGCCUUGGGUUCUGGACUCUGGGGCUUCUUUCCAUGUGACCUCUGAUCGCUCUCAGCUUGUGUCUUGCCAGCCAGUGCGGGAUGGUGCCUCUGUUUAGACUGCUGAUGGUACACCUUGUUCUAUUACUCAUCAGGGUUCUCUUCGCACAUCCAAGUUUUUUGUUCCUGCCAUCUCCUUUGCUCCAGAGUUGUCCAUGAAUCUUAUGUCUGUUGGCCAGCUUGCUGAUAUGAACUAUUUUGUUGGUUCUGAUGACUCAUUUUGUUAUGUGCAGGACCGUCAGAGCAAGAGGGUCAUUGGAACUAGCCAUCGCCGUAGAGGAUCCACAUCCCUCUACAUCCUUGACACCUUACACCUUCCUUCAGCUUCCACCACAUCCGCGUUCCGGAUGGCUGCAUCAACAUCAAGAUCCACUUCGCCGUUUUCUUUUGCCCAGUGGCACCAUCGCUUAGGUCACUUGUGUGAUUCUCGUUUAUCUACCCUUGUUCGACAAGGUGUUUUGGGUCAUGUUUCCAUAGAUGCUGGUUUUCACCGUAAGGGUUGUAAGCUAGGGAAACAAAUACAGCUUCCAUACUCUUCCAGCACUACUCAUUCUAGUCAUCCUUUUGAUUUAGUGCACUCUGAUGUAUGGGGUCCUUCCCCCUUUGUUUCGAAAGGUGGCCACAAACAUUAUGUCAUAUUUGUUGAUGAUCACUCUCGACAUACUUGGGUCUAUUUUAUGAAGCAUCGUUCUGAGUUGUUUUCUAUAUAUAAGGCUUUUGUACAUAUGGUCCAUACUCAGUUUUCCAGUGUUGUUCGUGUUUUUCGUUCUGACUCCGAGGGGAGUAUCUAUCUACUGCUUUUCGUGAGUUUCUCUCAUCUGAGGGUACUCUCCCUCAGCUUUCAUGCCCUGGUGCCCAUGCUCAGAAUGGCGUUGCUGAGCGUAAGCAUCGCCAUAUUGUUGAGACAGCAAAUACCCUUCUGAUUUCUUCCUUUGUCCCCACUCAUUUUUAGGGUGAAGCUAUCUCAACUACUGUUUAUCUAAUCAAUCUCCAACCUUCUACUCGCCUUGAGGGCAAGUGUCCUGGUGAGGUUUUGUCUGGUUCUCCUCCCACGUAUGACCACCUCCAUGUCUUUGGUUGUACUUGUUAUGUUCUUUUAGCACCUCGUGAGCGUACCAAGUUGACUGCUCAGUCUGCUCAAUGUGUCUUCCUUGGAUAUAGUCUUGAACAUAAGGGCUACCAUUGCAAUGAUUCUUCUGCUCACCGCAUUCACUUUUCUCGCGAUGUCACUUUUGUUGAGGAUCAACCCUUCUUCUAUUCCCCUUCCACUAACCCAUCAUCCUCAACUUCUUUAGAGUCUACCUCGUUUCUUUCACUUCCACCUAUCUUUUUAGACGAGUCCAUAGCUGAACAACCUUCCUCUGUCCUAACAUCAGAACCAUCUCCACCACAUGUUUCAUCUCCUUCCUCACCAGCUCCUUUCUCUUCCACUAGCUCCACCUCUAGAUAGUCUUCCUUUCCAUUACACUCGUCGUUAUUCUACUACUCCAGCCAGUACUUUCCAUUACACUCGUCGUUCUAAAGCUCCAUGUGACACGCAGUCAUCUAUGCCUUUGUCUUCUACUCCUCCAGCCAGUACUACUGAUCCUUGCACUAACGGCUCUUCUCUAGCAACGCGAUACAAAAAGGACUUGUAUGCAGGGGCUAUUUCUAAGCCUAGUACCUAUCAGGAGGCAGUUGUGUCACCUGAGUGGCAACUGGCUAUGUCUGAGGAGCUUGCAGCCUUAGAGAGUACUGGUACAUGGGAUUUGGUACCAUUACCUCCUAGUUCAAUCCCUAUCACUUACAAAUGGGUGUAUAAGGUUAAAACCAAGUCAAACGGUUAUGUGGAACGCUGCAAGGCUCGCCUUGUUGCAAGAGGUUUUCAGCAGUAUCAUGGGAAAGAUUAUGAUGAGACGUUCCCUCCUGUUGCUCACAUGACUUCAGUUCAAACUCCAAUUGUUGUGGCUGCUACUCAGUCAUGGAAAAUUUCCCACAUGGAUGUGAAGAAUGCCUUCCUUCAUGGUGAUUUACAUGAGGAAGUUUAUAUGCAGCCACCUCCAGGUAUCAAGGUUCCAUCAGGUCAUGUUUGCCGUCUUCAAAAGGCUCUUUAUGGGCUUAAGCAAGCCCCUCGUGCCUGGUUUGAGGGGUUCAGUUCUGUGAUUCAAGCUGCCGGUUUUUCUCCUAGUGAACAUGACCCUGCACUCUUCAUUCAUACAUCUGAGCAUGGUCGUACAUUGCUUCUACUUUAUGUAGAUGACAUGUUGAUCACUGGAGAUGUUGUUGGGUAUAUUGAUUUUGUUAAGAAAAAAAUGAGUGAACAAUUCAAGAUGUCAGAUUUGGGGUCUCUCAGCUAUUUUCUCGGGAUUGAGGUCGAGCACACCAAUGAUGGUUACUAUAUCUCCCAGCAAAAGUACACUCAGGAUUUGAUUCUUCGCUCAGGUCUCACUGACACACACAUUGCUGCUACACCUAUGGAGCUUCAUCUGCAGUUGCGUCCUACUGAUGACACUCCUCUUGAGGAUCCAUCUCGCUAUCGUCACAUUGUCGGCAGUCUAGUGUACCUCACAGUGACCAGACCUGACAUCGCACAUGCAGUCCAUAUUCUCAGUCAAUUUGUUUGUGCUCCUACCUCAGUUCAUCAUGGUCACCUAUUCCGAGUCCUUAGGUAUUUAAGGGGAACUACAUCUCGCCGCUUGUUCUAUGCUAAUUCCAGUCAGCUAGCUCCAGCUACAUGCUUACUCUGAUUCCACUUGGGCGAGUGAUCCUAUUGAUCGUCGCUCGGUCACUGGCUAUUGCAUAUUUCUUGGUACAUCUCUCAUUGCAUGGAAAUCAAAGAAGCAAACUGUUGUGUCUCGCUCCAGCGCCAAGGCAGAGCUUAGGGCUCUCUCUACUACUACAGCAGAGAUUGUAUGGCUUCGCUGGCUAUUGGAUGAUCUUGGUGUCUUAUGUCAUACACCAAUACCUCUUCUUUGUGACAGCACUGCUACUAUUCACAUUGCUAAUGAUCCAGUCAAGCAUGAGUUGACCAAACACAUUGGUGUGGAUGCCUUUUUCACUCGAUCUCAUUGUCAACAAUCCACUGUCAAGCUACAAUAUGUCCCAUCAGAGCUUCAAGUCGCAGAUUUCUUCACCAAGGCACAAACUAGAGAUCAGCAUAGGUUUCACACUCUCAAACUUGGUGUAUCAGAUGCUCCUGACCCACCUUAAGUUUGAAGGGGGGUGUUAAGUAUAUAUGUUGUGUUUGUCUUGUACAGGCCCAGGCCCAUAGUCUAGAGUGAGGCCCAGGCCUAUGUAACCUUGUAUAUCUCUCUCUCCUCCUCAAUACAGAAAACUGU